AGCAAGAAAAAACAUGUCCCGAAGCAGUGCGUGGCGCCCCCUUUAGCCCCGGCCACACCCCCAAACAGUAUUCCUGUGCUGCGCGGAAAAGAGAUUUCCUCCUCCUCCCUCCCCGGCUCCCACCUGAUUUCUCCACAUCUGGAAUCCUAAACCAGCCAAGGAAGUAUGGAAACAAAAUUUAAGAUGUGCUGAGUUGCUUAGAAGCUGUAGCUCAAAACUAGAGGAAACGAGGCUUUUCCAAGCGGGGGUGGGGAACUGCGAUGAGAUUCAGUGGAAGCCUACAGUAAAGAAACCUGUUUACCUUGGAGUUUCUCACACUUGGAAACCUUUUUGAACAUAUGUCUAUAAGCGUCUUGUGCAGGUGGAAGAAGUGAACUACAUGAUGACCAGGCUGUAGCCAUGACCUAAGCUGCCACAAUUCC